rnacentral:rRNA from 1 species
UACAGAGGUCCCAAGCGUUGUUCGGAUUCAUUGGGCGUAAAGGGUGCGUAGGUGGCGCCGUAAGUGGGGUGUGAAAUUUCGGAGCUUAACUCCGAAACUGCAUUCCAUACUGCGGUGCUUGAGGACUGGAGAGGAGACUGGAAUUCAUGGUGUAGCAGUGAAAUGCGUAGAGAUCAUGAGGAAGACCAGUGGCGAAGGCGGGUCUCUGGGCCGAUACUGACGCUGAGGCGCGAAAGCGUGGGGAGCAAACAGG